GAGAGUGCGCCAAAGUUGGAGAGUUGGGGCAGACUGUAAAUCUGUUGCUUCGGCUGAGUAGGUUCGAAUCCUACCACUCUCA
rnacentral:tRNA from 1 species